AGCUGCACAAGCAAUAUCAGUAACAGAGACAUCCUGGUACACACAAAAAGCAUAACCUUUUGAAUUCCCAGUUUCUCUAUCUUUGACCAGAUCAAAUCCUCGAAGUUGACCAAAAGACUCUAAAAGUUCCCUGAUUUGUGAUUCUGUAAAAUAAUAGGGUAAACCACCAACAAAUAUACGGUCAGGUCCUUCAAGCCCUCCGGAAGAACCUGGUGUCAAUCCAACAGCUGCCAGGUUGAG
rnacentral:misc_RNA from 1 species